AUGACAUGCGGCGUGGCCUCGGAAUCGGCGCCCCCGCCGGCGGAUCAAAUCCGCGUGGUUGGUGUGUGGGCCGGGCCCCUGGAGGUGGAGCUGGGCGCCUGGAAGGUGCCGAUGCUGCGGGGGGAGGUGGCGUGGCAGGCCGGGGACGUGGAGCCCGACCGCGUUGGCCUCAUCUUCGGCGGCCGCGUGCUCAAGGACGACCCCGCCGGCGUCCCGCUGCAGCAGGCCGGCCUCAAUAAGCUCGUCAGGAUGUGGUUUGGAUCGAUUUUCUCAUCUAUGAUUGAAUCGCGACGGGUAUUUUGGAUUUUGAGAUUCCUGUUCUGUUCUCCCUGGUUUUCGGCGGAAAGAUAUUCAGUCACCACGAGCGGGAUUUUCGCUUGGCAGUCUAAAAUUAGGAGCACUAGUACAGGACACGCAUUCUUGUAUGAUCUUGGCUAG
rnacentral:rRNA from 1 species